CAGGGAUUGACUUUGAAAGGAAUGUGGAGGAGACAGGAGCUCUGCCUAUAACUCAACAAUUACAGUUAUGAAGAGAUAGUGCAAAGCAGAGACAAAUUUGUUGUUCCCAAAGACUGAAACAUAAGCAAAAGGAACCCAGAUUACUUACAAAUGGAAAAAUAUCACAAGGCGAACAAAAAGUUCUGAUGGUGAUUCAUCUCUCUCAAAAGUUUCAAGAAGUCAAAUAAUUCCAAUGUGGGUUGGUUGGAAAGGGUAAGUAUUUAAUCACAUUCUCCGUACAAUAAAAGAGAAAAGGUUAAGCUUGGGACCAGAAGUGUUUUGGACUUUGCAAUACCUGUACUGGCACAUAGUAAGAUAUCAUGGAGAUGAGACCCAAGUCUAAACACAAAAUUCAAAUGCACUCUGUGCACAUAGCCUGAAAGUAAUUUCUUACAAUAUUUUAAAAUAAUUUUGUGCAUCAAAAAUUUUUUGUGUACAUCAAAGCAUCAAAAAAAGAA
rnacentral:lncRNA from 11 species